rnacentral:lncRNA from 1 species
AGCAUGAUACCCCAGACCGGGAGCAUAUACCAUGCGGAGCCAGGCCCGCUGGGACUUCUGGAAAGCACUGGAGAUCAUGUGAGAUAGUGAGGGUCACUGUUAAAAAAGAAGCGGUGGUGUGUAGUCAACUGGAGUGAAUCUGUACAUUCUCCAGGCCCGGUCUUGUGAGACUUUGUCCCACUGUUGUUCCCACUCAGAGCUGAGCAGAAACCACGCACGUCUGAAUAACGGGGGCCCUUUCUGCCUGUUGUAAUCCUGGAUUGUUACAGUCUAGGGGCCAGCCAUGCUGUCACCGUCACAAAUUGAUUUAACCAUCAAUUGCAGUGGUCAUUAAAGCUGCUAGAAGUCCCAGCCAAGCUGAUGAAUUGCAGCUGAAUGUGAAAUGAGCCUCCAAGACUGUUUCCCACCAUCUCAUAUCAAAGCCUAUUGUGUCUCUCCAAAGUAAAGGGUCGGAGGUUCAGCCUGGAGUUCAACAAUGGGCUCAGUCAGAAGAUAGAGCCCCCUUCACCCCAGCAUUCCCAAUUACAGUUUUCUUUCCAUGCCUUAUUGUGCAGUAUUUGCAUCCAACUAAUACGUUGAAUUAUUGACAUACCCCAGUGUCAAUGGAGCUUUUGAAAGAUUUAUCCCCCAAAUAUAUGGAAUCCCAAGCAUCUGGUGGCUCCCCAGUAUUGACAAUGAAAUGAUUCCCUGGUUUUCCUCCUCUGGCAGCCUAUUCGACUUAUCUGAUCUGAAUGGCUAUCUUUACUCAGCAGAGAUUAGCUGCUUCCAGGCCUCACACACAAAAAGCCCCAAGUCUGCUUCUGGAAGUCUUUUUCCUUCAGAUGUAUUGUUCCCUGCACUUGAUUUGCUACUCAUUUUUAUAUAGCACUUAAAUCUGCUAGACUUGCGCUUAGUGCCUGUUAGUAACAGGAGAAAAAGAAUGAAAAAUUAUCCAAUGUACUCCAAUUCCCCUCUCUUUUUUUUCCUUUUGUCUUUUUUUUUUUUUUUUUGUCCUGACAUAUCUGCAUGAUUGAUACAGUCUUCUUGCAUUUUUGGCUUGCUACUAAGCUACACAUGGUACAGGCUACCAGAUGAAAUCGUAUCCCUUGUGCUCGGGGGGAGCAUUUGCACGCUGGGCACACACAAGCUGUUUUCCUGCGCAGACUGUCUUGUCAGAGAGUCCCAUCCCUGUGGGUGAGGUACUCUGGGGUGCAGAAUCUGAAGUAAGACACUGCAACUGUGAUUGCAUAUAUGCAAAGUCUGGGAAGGUUCCUGCUGCACACGUGGGCAGAAAAAGAAGUUAGAAAAGAAGGGUGGAGCAUUCAGUAAAGAGGUCACAGGUCCAGACAAUCCCAAUGUAUUAAUAAUGAGCCAGCAGACAGCUUUAGGUCUGUAUUUGCCCAGGCUGUGUUUACUACAGACUGAGUGUCUCCACUAAAUCUGUGUGGAAAUGCUGUUAGCAGAGGACUAACUGCUACCACUGGCCUGUGUUUCUCUGUGUCUCCCGUGAAGGUCAUAGGGUGCCUGUUCUUGAAAGCUUUGCUAUCUCAACGACAGAAUGAACAGAUGAAUAAAUAUAAUACAUAUACAUAUAAAAGGCUCUUUAAAUCUGGUUGUGUCACAGAAGAGCAGUGCUUUUGUUGACCUCUUUCAUCUUUCUGAACUCUGGACUAUUUCACUCCAUGUAGCAGUGAACUUUCCUUAAUGGAAAAUAAUAUCAUUGCUGCUUUAAUUCUUUUUUGGCCUUACGUGUUCCAAGUGAAGCAUCUGAAAAGUCCAUCAGUCCAUGCUAAUAUCAGAUUGUCUCCACAAAAAGCUAGACUGAAUGAAUAGGAGUUUGAAAAAAUAGAAUGGAAAUCUGUCCAAUUAAUGGCCUGGGUAGUGAUUUCAUGUCUUGUGACAAGUGAGAUUACAAAAAACUCAAAAAACUCAAAUAAACAAAACAAAAGAACAAACAACAACAACAAAAACAAUUCUCCACUGUGACAAGCUUUUCACAAGAAUUUUCACAGGGUUGGGUUUUCUGUUUUGUUUUGUUUUGUGUGUUUUAGGUUUUGUUUGUUUGUUUGUUUGUUUGUUUGUUUUUGAAAAAGCCAAUGACAAAUCGACAAUAAUAUGGCCAACAGAAGACUCACCUGAGUUGGAGACUCCCAGGUUCAAAUUUCCCCUGUAAUUUUUCAUGGCACAGAUCAUCCACCAGAUGAUGUGAAACCACUGUAUGUUGAUGAUUUUAUUUCUUUCAGUCUCUUUUCUGAGUCAACAAAUAUUAAUUGGGUCAGAGGCACAAACCUGAAGCUCUCACAAACUCACUUUCUACUGUAAGCACUAGGCAAGGAAGCCAGGUACAAGACUGGGGAAGCAUCACCCUGCCUGUGCAAGCUGAGUGCCAAUAAUCAGGGAGAGGACAAUGGAAGGUGAAAUUAAAAACUAGCAGCUCCUUGUCAUGCCACUCUCUGUACAUACAGGAAGUAUUCAACUAUCACAGUGCAAAGCCUGAAUAAUAAGAGGAGUAGAGCACAGAUUGUAGUCAAUCCACCUAUUUUAUGCAAACUUCAGUAAUAUGGGAAGGUACAAAUGAGUCUGCUUAUAAAUUCAGAUAUGUUGAAACAAACUUUUCCUCUGAGACUGUUCUUGUUUCUCAGCUGAGCUACUGGACAUAUCCUUCUAUGUGGUUUCUAAUAGAGAUGAAAUCAGUAAUAUUGGAGCUACCAUCAUGUAAUUUUCUCAGUUCAUUUGAACCCUGGAAUGUGAUGGUGGGGGAUCACAUAAACAAUCUUAGCACACUAUUACUGUCUAGCUCCAAGGAAGCAAGUCUGCAUCAAGAUUUUACUUUAAUGGGAAUAAAGUUCCCUUCAGCUCUUCUAUUGAAAUUGUCCUUGCACAAUCUUCUGUGCAAAUCAAACCUAAGAACAAUGUCAUAACUUCCCAAGACUCAAAGCCUGUUUGCUUUCUCAAAGCCUAGAAACCUGUCCAUUGCAUGGUUACUUGCUGAAUUGAGCUCUACGAGGAAGGACCUUGGUGUCUUGGUGGGCAACCAGUUGGCCACAAGCCAGCAAGUAUGACCUUGUCGUCAAGAAGGCCAGUGAUAUCCUGGGGUUCAUUAAAAAGAGAGUAGUCAGCAGGUCAAGAGAGGUGAUCCUCCCCCUCUUGUCUGCCCUGGUGAGGCCACAUCUGGGGUACUGUGUCCAGAUCUGGGCUCCCCAGUUCAAAAAAGACUGGAAACUUCUAGAGAGAGUUCAGCAAAGUGCCGUAAAGAAGAUUUGGGUUCUGGAGCAUCUCCCUUAUAAGGCAGGGCUGAGAGACCUUGGGCUGUUCAUCAUGGAGAAAACUUCAGUGAAGAAUAAAGAUGUUUAUGUUACACAGAGUUAUCUUCCAUUGACAUAAAUCAAUCUUGACCUGGCAAAGUUUGUAUUCAUAGACAUAUCUAAGUAUCUUGCCAGUAUUGGGUUCCCUGGUAGAAUAAGAUACAUUUUACCCUACAGAAUGGGAUCCUCCACAUCCAUUGAUGACACAUUUUAUUUGCAAUAUUCAGCUAUUGCAAUGAACAGAUUAAGCUGCCAUAGAAGGUGAUUUCUUCUUUGAGCACUGGAGUGGAAGGAAUUCUCUCUCCCACAGCUUUAAGUCCUCGGGACCCUAAGCCUCUUCAUCACAGUAAAGUCCAGGACUUCCCAGUGCCUCUGAUGGUACUGCUUCUCAGCACUGAGCCACAGAGAGUGCAGGCAGCCAUCUAGGCACAUCCUGCUUAGCUAACAUGCACACACAGGCAUGUGUUCUCAUGAUGACAGCCCCCAUUUAGGCCCUUCAUUCUCCUGGCUAGGCACUUUCACAAGACAUUAAAAAACCUGAAGACUUCACAUUCAUAUGUGAAGUGUAUUAAAAGGUUCAAGAGUGAUUAGAAGGUAGGCAGCACACAUUUAGUGUAAUCAACUAUGUAUCUUCUGGUCUAAUGAUAAGCAAGGUAAAAACUCAGGAGACUUUAGCGGAAGAGUUGUUGGGAUGCAAGAGGCUAGCUUUAGAAGUACUGAAAUGUAGAGAUACUGAAUUUGUAUUUUGAUAAUGCUUGAUUUUAGCCGUGGGACACUGAAAACAAGAUACUUUCUCCUCAAGGCAGACAAUUAUUUUGGAAAUGAAACUCAGAUUAGUAGCUAUUUAUGCUAUUAACUUGCAUAUGAUUAACUUACUAACUUCUGUAGUAUCCCUUUUCUGACCUAGAUUCACUUCAUACUGUAGAAUGCAGAUUAAAUUGUACAAAAUAAUAUAUUGGUCAUCUGUGUUUCUGUGAUCAACAGAUGCAAGUAAGAUAUUAAUAACAGUAAUAAUGUCGUAUUAAAGAAUAAGUAUUUUAUGUAGAAAUCUAUUUGACAUAAGUAGUUUUGAAGGAAUAAAAAUUUAUACCUUACUUUACAGAAAAAUGGUGUUAUUAUUCAUUCUUUUGGAUGCAGCAUUGUAAACAAAUAGAAUUGUAAAUCACCUGGAACUAUUAGAGUCCUGUAUCAGAAAUGUCCUUGGGAAUCUAGAUACUUGACAAAUAUCUUAAGUUUAAAUGUUAAAAUAAGAAGUGAAAUCUUUUGCCAUUAAUUGUAGGUGAAAAAAUCCUUGAACCAUUCAGAAUUCACUCAAGGAGUAUGCAAUAAAUGGCAAUUGCAGCUGCAGAUUUUCCUUGUCU